AGUGAACGCUGGCGGUAGGCCUAACACAUGCAAGUCGAACGGCAGCACAGCAGUAGCAAUACUGUGGGUGGCGAGUGGCGGACGGGUGAGGAAUACAUCGGAAUCUACCUUUUCGUGGGGGAUAGCGUAGGGAAACUUACGCUAAUACCGCAUACGACCUUAGGGUGAAAGUAGGGGAUCGCAAGACCUUACGCGGAUAGAUGAGCCGAUGUCGGAUUAGCUAGUUGGCGGGGUAAAGGCCCACCAAGGCUACGAUCCGUAGCUGGUCUGAGAGGAUGAUCAGCCACACUGGAACUGAGACACGGUCCAGACUCCUACGGGAGGCAGCAGUGGGGAAUAUUGGACAAUGGGCGCAAGCCUGAUCCAGCCAUACCGCGUGGGUGAAGAAGGCCU
rnacentral:rRNA from 1 species